rnacentral:tRNA from 1 species
GGGGCUGUAGCUCAGCGGUAGAGCACUUGCCUUGCACGCAUGAGGCACUGGAUUUGAUCCUCCGCACCA